rnacentral:rRNA from 1 species
UACGUAGGGUGCGAGCGUUAAUCGGAAUUACUGGGCGUAAAGCGUGCGCAGGCGGUUUCGUAAGACAGGUGUGAAAGCCCCGGGCUCAACCUGGGAAUUGCGCUUGUGACUGCGAGGCUGGAGUGCGGCAGAGGGAGGUGGAAUUCCACGUGUAGCAGUGAAAUGCGUAGAGAUGUGGAGGAACACCGAUGGCGAAGGCAGCCUCCUGGGCUAGCACUGACGCUCAUGCACGAAAGCGUGGGGAGCAAACAGG